rnacentral:rRNA from 1 species
GUGCCAGCCGCCGCGGUAAUACAGAGGUCCCAAGCGUUGUUCGGAUUCACUGGGCGUAAAGGGUGCGUAGGUGGCUUGGAAAGUCUGAUGUGAAAUCUCGGAGCUUAACUCCGAAACGGCAUUGGAGACUACUGAGCUAGAGGAUCGGAGGGGAGACUGGAAUUCUUGGUGUAGCAGUGAAAUGCGUAGAUAUCAAGAGGAACACCAGUGGCGAAGGCGAGUCUCUGGACGAAUCCUGACACUGAGGCACGAAAGCUAGGGGAGCAAACAGGAUUAGAAACCCGCGUAGUCC